rnacentral:rRNA from 1 species
AUACGUAGGUGGCAAGCGUUGUCCGGAUUUACUGGGUGUAAAGGGCGUGUAGGCGGAGAUGCAAGUCAGGAGUGAAAUCUAGGGGCUCAACCCCUAAACUGCUUUUGAAACUGUAUCCCUUGAGUAUCGGAGAGGCAGGCGGAAUUCCUAGUGUAGCGGUGAAAUGCGUAGAUAUUAGGAGGAACACCAGUGGCGAAGGCGGCCUGCUGGACGACAACUGACGCUGAGGCUCGAAAGCGUGGGGAGCAAACAGGAUUAGAUGCCCUGGUGGUCCACGCUGUAAACGAUGAAUGCUAGGUGUAGGGGGUAUCGACCCCUUCUGUGCCGCAGUUAACACAAUAAGUAUUCCGCCUUGGGAGUACGGCCGCAAGGUGGAAACUCAAAUGAAUUGACGGGG